UACGGGGGGAGCAAGCGUUGUUCGGAUUUACUGGGCGUAAAGGGCGCGUAGGCGGCCACCGCAAGUCGACUGUGAAAUCUCCGGGCUUAACCCGGAAAGGUCAGCCGAUACUGCGGGGCUAGAGUGCAGAAGGGGCAACUGGAAUUCUCGGUGUAGCGGUGAAAUGCGUAGAUAUCAGGAGGAACACCGGUGGCGAAGGCGGGUCUCUGGGCAGUUACUGACGCUGAGGAGCGAAAGCAUGGGGAGCGAACAGG
rnacentral:rRNA from 1 species